AUUGAACGCUGGCGGCAGGCUUAACACAUGCAAGUCGAGCGAGCGGCGGACGGGUGAGUAAUGUCUGGGACACUGCCUGAUGGAGGGGGAUAACUACUGGAAACGGUAGCUAAUACCGCAUACCAUCAGAUGUGCCCAGAUGGGAUUAGCUAGUAGGUGGGGUAAUGGCUCACCUAGGCGACGAUCCCUAGCUGGUCUGAGAGGAUGACCAGCCAAACGGGAAUGGAGACACGGUCCAGACUACUACGGGAGGCAGCAGAGGGGAAUGUUGUACAAUGGGCGCAAGCCUGGUGCAGCCAUGCCGCGUGUGUGAAGAAGGCAUGCGGGUUGUAAAGCAAUGUCAGCGAGGAGGCGUUACUCGCAGAAGAAGCACCGGCUAACUCCGUGCCAGCAGCCGCGGUAAUUC
rnacentral:rRNA from 1 species